rnacentral:rRNA from 1 species
AGAGUUUGAGUCCUGGGCUCAGGACGAACGCUGGCGGCGUGCCUAACACAUGGCAAGUCGAGCGGGGACAUACGACGGACAGGGAAGUUUUCGGGAUGGAAUGGAAGAUGUAUGUUCUAGCGGCGGACGGGUGAGUAACGCGUGAGCAACCUGUCCUUCACAGGGGGAUAACACAGCGAAAGUUGUACUAAUACCGCAUGAGACCACAGCGGGACAUCCCGCAGGGGUCAAAGGAGCAAUCCGGUGAAGGGUGGGCCCGCGUCUGAUUAGCUAGUUGGUGGGGCAACGGCCUACCAAGGCGACGAUCAGUAGCCGGCCUGAGAGGGUGAACGGCCACAUUGGGACUGAGACACGGCCCAAACUCCUACGGGAGGCAGCAGUGGGGAAUAUUGGGCAAUGGGGAAACCCUGACCCAGCAACGCCGCGUGAGGGAAGAAGGUUUCGGAUCGUAAACCUCUGUCCUUGGUGAAGAGAAAGAGACGGUAGCCAAGGAGGAAGCCCGGCUAACUACGUGCC